rnacentral:rRNA from 1 species
AGCUACCGCUAUUGGAGUUCGAUUAAGCCAUGCGAGUCGAGAGUCUUAGGGACUCGGCGUACCGCUCAGGAACACGUGGGUAACCUGCCCUAUGCUGGGGAAUAACCUCGGGAAACUGAGAAUAAUGCCCCAUAGUCCACCAUGCCUGGAACGGUUGGUGGAUGAAAGCUCCGGCGGCAUAGGAUGGGCCUGCGGCGUAUCAGGCCGUAGGGGGUGUAACGUACCCUCUAGCCAUCGACGCGUACGGGUGUUGGGAGACAUAGCCAGGAGAUGGAUUCUGAGACACGAAUCCAGACCCUACGGGGUGCAGCAGGCGCGAAAACUUGGCAAUGCGAGAAAUCGUGACCAGGGAACUCCAAGUGGCUGGGGUAAGACCCAGUCUUUUCUUGACUCUUCAAAGGUCUUGGAAUAAGGGGUGGGUAAGGACGGUGCCAGCCGCCGCGGUAAUACCGGCGCCUCAAGUGGUAGUCGAUUUUAUUGGGCCUAAAACGUCCGUCGCCUGUUUGGUACAUUCGUGGGUAAAUCAACCAGCUCAACUGGUUGAAUUCUGCGAGCACGGCCAGACUUGGGACCGGGAGAGGUGUGGGGUACGCUCAGGGUAGGGGUAAAAUCCUGUCAUCCUGAGCGGACCACCUGUUGCGAAGGCUCCACACUAGAACGGAUCCGACGGUCAGGGACGAAGCCUAGGGGCACGAACCGGAUUAGAUACCCGGGUAGUCCUAGGUGUAAACGCUGUGGACUUGGUGUUGGGAAGGUUCCGAGCCUUCUCAGUGCCGAAGCGAAGGUGAUAAGUCCACUGCCUGGGGAGUACGGUCGCAAGGCUGAAACUUAAAGGAAUUGGCGGGGGAGCACCGCAACCUGAGGAUUGUGCGGUUU